rnacentral:rRNA from 1 species
UACGUAGGGGGCGAGCGUUGUCCGGAGUUACUGGGCUUAAAGCGCUUGUAGGCGGUUGUUUAAGUGUGGGGUGACAGUUGCCGACUUAAUCGGCAAAGUGCCGCAAAGACUGGCGGACUUGAGGGCCACAGAGGGACAUGGAACUCCAGGUGUAGUGGUGAAAUGCGUAGAUAUCUGGGAGAACGCCAAAGGCGAAGGCAGUGUGCUGGGGGGUGGCUGACGCUGAGAGGCGAAAGCCAGGGGAGCGAACGGG